AGAACCCUAUGUCGUGUUCACUUCACUAAAAUUGGAAUGGUACAGAGAUUACCAUGGCCCUGUGCAAGGAUGAUAUACAAAUUCGUGAAGUGUUCCAUAUUUGG